rnacentral:pre_miRNA from 1 species
UUAGUACUCCCUCCGUUCCAAAUUACUCGUCGCUGAAAUGGAUGUAUCUAGAACUAAAAUGCAUCUAGAUACAUCCAUACGUGCGACAAGUAAUUCGGAACGGAGGGAGUACAUG